CUUGUUUUUGUCACCCGAAAAACACCAGGAACAACAACAACACCAUAGUGUAGGAAGCAAGAAGAUUAUAAAAGAAGUAGAGGAACAACCCGAGAUUGGAGGAGAAACUAGUUGGGACCAUUAAUCUGAAGUAUAAGAAGGAACUACCUUGAGUUGGGAAAUCAUUAAGGGUUAAAAUGUUUUGCAUGCAGGUUGGGAUGAUCAUGUCUAGGUAAAAGGCAAAGGAAUGGUUAGAGAUUAAUGCAAGGUGUAGGAAGCAAGAAGAUUAUAAAAGAAGUAGAGGAACAACCCCAGAUUGGAGGAGAAACUAGUUGGGACCAUUAAUCUGAAGUAUAAGAAGGAACUACCUUGAGUUGGGAAAUCAUUAAGGGUUAAAAUGUUUUGCAUGCAGGUUGGGAUGAUCAUGUCUAGGUAAAAGGUAAAGGAAUGGUUAGAGAUUAAUGCAAGGUUUGUAUGUGUCAUGGCGAAAACGAUUAAAGAUCGUGUUCUAAGUUGCUCAAGGUGUAAUUUAAGAUUUAUGGAAGCUUGAUAUUUUGGGUUGAUUCUAAAUCGUUAUUAUUAUUUUGCUUUGAUACUAUUAAUUGUUUUGUAAUUAUCGGUAAGUAAUAUUAAGGCUUAAGCUGCUGGUUUGAGUUUAGUUGAUUAAAUAUAGGCUAAGUGUGAUAAGCAAUCAUCUUGUUAUGGGCAGGCUAUUACAGGUGGUAUCAGAGCCAAGGUUGUUUUUGGGUUGCUAUGAUCUUCAUAUCAUGGCAUAUGAAUUGAGAAUCGUGAGCAUGAGUUUUCUCUUUAAAGAGUUGAGUUUUUAAUUUCGAGUGUCGUUUGAGGAAUUCAAUAUGUGUUAUAUUCGGAUGAUAAGUUUUGGGUUUUGUGCUUGUACUUGUACUUAAGGGAAUGAGAAGGGCUUGAAACCAAUGGAUAACCCAAGGAUUAACGUCGAUAAGUUGAAUUGUAAAGCCAAGAAGGUCAUAUGAAUUGAUUUUGAGCUAUGAAGAUAGAAAUUAGUUUCAGUAAAUAAAAAUCUACGGUAGAUCUAUCAUAUCUAAUUUGGUUAUUAAUGUGAAGUAUUACGAACCAGCUCUUUGCGAAUUUAAGUUGGUAUUUCAGAGAAUUAAAUUUAGUAACAAGAAUUGUGGUUUGAAGUUAUUUGAACUUUUAUGUCUUCUUAGUUGAUAAGGGUUAAGUCGUUAAAUGUUGAUGCUCUGAAUUGAAAAGUCAAUAAGGUUGAUUGCGUAGUUGAGAUAUUAGACAUGGAAGCCUUCAGUUAAAAUAUUUUGUUGAGCAUGUCCCAUUGGAGAUACAAAGGUACUGGGAUUUGAUUAAUGAUGAGAGAAAAUGUGAAUCGAUGAUUCAAGUUUAUUGUUAUCCUAUUCAUAUAAGUUGUGAGAAGCUAUGUUUGAAAGUUCGAUUUGAAGGAUCAUUAUCAUAUUUGAGUUGGAGAUGUCUUAUUACAAGAGAUAGAGAUGAAUUAUAUCGAGAUUUUGAAAGAUUGAUUCUAGCCUGAUUUUCAUAGGAUGCAUAUUGUUAUUUGAAGAAAGCGAGCCCUAGUUAUUAUGUAUGGUCUUGAACUAUUUUGCUGAAGUAUGAAAUGCAGACUAGAGGAUUCUUGAUAAUGCGGUUAGAGUAUUGAAUUUGAGAUUCAGAAUGGUGACUUUUGGCUCUUAGAGAUGCCUAUUCGGAAAUAUGGAGUUUUGAAAUUAAAAGAGGCAUUGAGAUACGUGUUUUUGGAUAGUAAAUAAUUUUGUUUGACUUUGUGGUAGUGUUUGUCUAUAACUAAGGUUGGUAGGUGUGAGUGAGGAUUUUGAUUUUCUGUUUGUUUAACUAUUAGAAUUUAAUUAAGUGUAGAUAUAAUGUAAGGUCAUAUUCCAAUUGGGAACUAGUGUAAGCACGCUACAAAGUGUAUGCAUAUUAAUUAUGCUAAAUGAUUAUGUGUAAAUAAUAUGUUUCCUGACAUUAAGGUUUUCCGUAUGAUUUAUGUUUUGUCAUACGUAUCAUAACCUAACAGUGGUAUCACGAGCCUCUUAUUAUUUUCAUAAUCUAAAUUGCAUGAACAUGGUUAAAUUUUACAAAUUUGCAAGGAAUUAAAAGGGGUGAUUAGUUUUCGUAAUUAAUUGCAAAUUGCGUUUAUUUAAUUAUAUGUACGCAGUUUUUCGGCAGAAUAUUCGUUACUCAACCAAAUCGAGUGAUUUUUGUGUCAAUUUCGCAUGUAAAAGGCAUUCUAAAAUUUUGACAAAAUAGUUGGCCGAACCCAGAAUUCCCAAAUUCGAAGCCUAACUAUGAUUUUUCGGAGGUAUAAGUUCUUCGAACGCAAAAGUUUGUAAAUUUAAGAUGUUAAAUUGAAUAUUUGCGAUUCUUGUUGAUAAAUCUUGAGUUUUUUAUUGACCUACAGUAUAUGUUUAACAAUUAUGAAUGCCUAGACUUGUUAAUUAUACAACCUAAUUUGUAAUUAUGAUUAAUUUGUUGAAAUUCGAAUAAUUUAGAAUUGAUUUGUUUUUCAUAAUUAAUUAAUAAUUUAAUUAGGUAUC